ensembl:lncRNA
AGAAUAUCCUCAUUCCUGCCAGGACCAUGCGCCAAAGCUCUCCAUCCGCAGCAGGCGGUCAGUGUUGCCUGGCGGAGGCUCGCCUCGGCCGCAGAGCUCAGGAGCUCGUUAGCAGGCUGGCCUGCAACAGAAAGCUUGCUGGCCGCAGCGAUUUGUGAAUUCAUCCAGCAGUCAGCCGGGCUAGGCACGAUGGAGGUACGCCAAGAGAUGGAAGCGACAAGAUGAGCGGCGCACUCAUCAGCUCACUGGUGGCGAUGACAAUAACAAAGGUUACCCUGCCCUGAGGGAUGAUGUCCCUCCUAAAACUCAUGUGGAAUUUAAUCCCAGCCUUUGAGAGGUGAUGGAGUCAUCCGAGUGCCACUAUGGGGAAUUAGAUACCAUAGAGAAGGCCUGGAGGAUCUGAGUGAGACGUUCUUCCCUCCUUUCUACCGUCCCAUUGGGAAGCAGCAGGAAGGCUUCACAACCACCUGUCACUCUGGCUCCAAAGGACUCAGUGAUCUUUUUCUGGCCUCUGGGAUUACUUGUACACGCAUACAAUUUUUUAAAAUAAAUCUUUAAAACAAAAGAAAUUAUUUCUCUCUGAAAGUGCACUGAGAAUUGACCUCAGGUGCAGUGGAGCACAGACUAACUCUCAUCUCCCGGACAAACCACACGGAAUGAGCAAGGGUUCGAAGAGCAUGAAUGACCAACAACCACCGACUAACCACAGGGGAGUGUGUACACCUACAGCGGGUGUCCGCAAAGCAGGACACACCAACACCAGGCUCCAGAUUCCAGCCUGGACUACGUCAUCAUGAGACAGGCCUAUGCUAUGCAGCCCCUGCCCCCAGGAACAUCUGGCUCAUGAGACCAGCUACAGGUGUGGAUAGGGCUCAUUGUCAACCGAUGGGUUCCCAGUACUGUCCUCCAGUUGCUAGCCUGCACGGCUUCCCAGGACAAGAUUUGGAGUCUCUGAACUAGAAUGAUAGCUCUACAUGGGUGGUAUGAGAGUGACUCAGUGUCUUGGAAGCCACCUCCAAAGGGAAAAUAUUUCCAGAUCUGAGUGGCUGCAGGGCCAGACUCGGCAUCUAUGAAUCCUUCGUUCUGUGACCUUAGCCGCAUCCGCUAAGCUGCUGCCAGGCUAGACUGCAGAAACGAACUCAAAGCAAAGACGUUGAAAAAAAAAAGAAAAAAAAAUCAAGAGGUCUGAAAUUUGCCCCAUCAAGUCUUUUGAAACCAAACUGCCCACAUUUUUAAGGGUUUGACGUCAUAACAUUCCCAAGUCUCUUCCAACCACAGAGACUUCCCCCCCUUGUCCCUCCCUCACCCUUGGAAGGUGAGAACAGCAAGGGAGACUGAAUGACACUGCAGUGCCACCAGGUGCCUGGACUGGCUGCGGGGCCCAGGGCUGAACAAGGCUGCACUUGUGAACUGUGCACGGGGCUCUUCACUGUGUGGUGUGGGCUGCACACAGGGCUCUUCACGGUGUCUCACAGAGACAGGGCCUUUGACUGAAGGGAGAGACACAUUCCAGAGAUUUUUCACGUGCAAGCAGAUAUUUCCUUUGUGAGUUUGUAGACUAAAUAACACUCCCUUCGUCUAAGGAUCGGUGUGCGCUGCUGACCUGGCCCUGUCCUCUGCCAGUGGGAGGAGAGGGGAGCCCUCAUUUGCCUAAAUCCAGGAGACAGAGAGGAAGAAGUCCUUGAAGAAGUUUUUUUGGCAGGCCAUGGGGACAUUUUCCCUGCCUCAACGAGGUGAUGGGACAGACUUAGUUGACAUCCUAGGGGAGGCUUUACUCUCUGAGGAGCAACUGGGAGGUGGG